rnacentral:rRNA from 1 species
AUUGAACGCUGGCGGCAUGCCUAACACAUGCAAGUCGAACGAGUGGCGGACUGGUGGAUAAUGUAUGGAAACCUGCCUGAUGUAGGGGGAAAACGCCUGGAAACGGUGGCUAAUACCGCAUACCAUCCGAUGUGCGCCGAGGGGAUUAGCUAGUAGGUGGGGUAAAGUCUCACUUAGGCGACGAUCCCUAGCUAGUCUGAGAGGAGGAACAGCCACACUGGAACUAGGACACGGUCCAGACUCCUACGGGAGGCAGCAGUGGGGAAUAUUGCACAAGGGGCGCAAGCCGGAUGCAGCCAUGCCGCGUGUAUGAAGAAGGCCUGCGGGGCGUAAAGUACGUUCAGCGGGGAGGCGUUACCCGCAGAAGAAGCACCGGCUAACUCCGUGCCAGCAGCCGCGGUAAUUC